rnacentral:sRNA from 1 species
CAGAGUGAGAAUGCAGAGCUUCGGGCGG